UGCACCGACGGAGAUGGCAUUCCUCCGCUAACCGUCGCUAUCAGCGACUGAUGAUGCCUACACCUUC
rfam:Candidimonas bauzanensis strain CGMCC 1.10190 genome assembly, contig: Ga0070552_108